GGAGAGAGGCUCAGAAACCUUUCCAGCCAAGGAAUCUCCAGUACCUAACUCUCUAGGAGCAUCAACCGGGAUCAAGUAAAGGAGCACACACAGGAUUGAGACUGGAAAACAUGCUUCUGACAUGGACUCUCCUCUUGUUCCUCCUAAUGGACCAGCCUUCCUUCUCUGAGGCCCAAGACCUCCUCCGUCACCAAACUGACAGGCCCAGAACGAAGAUCUCUGCCAACCACAAAUAUUACUGUGACAUGAUGAUGAAGGCUCGAGGGCUGGCCACUGACAAGAGCUGUAAGAAGAACAAGAUCUUUGUCCACAGUGUGUCACCCAGCACUCGUGGCCUUUGCGAGAGUCCAGCUGUGACGUGUAUGAAGUCGUCUGAGUUUUACAGCUGCCACCUCAUCACCUUCAAAGUCACUCAGUGUAAUCUCUACCCAGAGGCUGUGCCCCCGCACUGUCACUAUAAAGGUGUCACUUUCCAGAUGGAUGUGAAAAUAGUCUGUGCGGGCAAACGUCCAAUUCGCUUGGAAGAAUAGCCUCUGUAGUCACUCACCACGGCUGUCUGCUGCUCUGCUUCACCCCAUCUCAUUCCCUCUGUGAUGUCCUGCUCAACCCCAGCUGGUGUGGUUUCCUGCAGAGUCUGGGCUCCCACCGUUCCCUGAGUCCUAGCCCCAACGCCUGCUCUCUCACUGUCAGUCCUGUGGAUUUGUGUUAGAGAGAUGGUGGAGGCAGAGGGCAGGUAGGCUUGUCAUCAGCACCCUUUGGGACUUUUGGUUCUUGUCCUGUUUAAUUGCUUUGUCCUGGCUGCAGAGGGAGAGAAAGCUAAUGCUAAAUUCUUUCCUGGGGCUUGGUCCCUCAAUCCCUAGGGUGGAAGAGAAAGUCAGAGCGAGUUGUGGGCAGUUAUGCCCCAGGGAUCUGCUGAGCCCAUUUGCCCCUAAACCUGCUGCUUUAAUAAAACUCUCAAGGGCA